rnacentral:lncRNA from 1 species
UAAGGGCCCUAGCAGCUGAAAAUACACACAAAAAGAUACAAGACCUAUAUAGACAAAGCAUCCGUCGUUUUCUGAAAAUGGGAAUACACAUUUCAGACCCUAAGACCUAAGGGCUAGAGGGAUCAACCAAAAAGAUUAAAGAAUAACCCCCCCACCGCCGUUAGAGCUUCUUUUUCAACAAAACAAUACCCCGUCUCUAACCAAACACCCGCUGAAAUCCGUCUCCUUCAAUCCCCCCUCCCAUCGGCGCUGCUUCUUCUCCACCCCUUUUCACAAAGACAAACGACCUCCACACUUUCAGAGAAUGAGAGCCAUGAACACCGGCAAGACAUCGAAGAACUCGCCGAAUCCGAUCUCGAUCUAGACAGAAACUCUCCGCUGUUGUUUCGCCUCAUCACUCUCUAGAUCUGGCCGGUUUUACCUCAACCUGUGACCCUUUCCAUCUUCGUCUUUUAUAAAACCAGGGUCAAAAGAUGGUUUAUCUCGCUGGCAGGAUUUUGACAUCGUGUUAUUUCAUGACUACACCUAGUUUCAGUGGUUUAUUUUGAUGUUUGUUUAAGGUUCCCGUUGAAACCCGUGGUCAACUAAGAUUCUGGUCAACGAUCUUUCCUGGUUUUGUGCUUUCUGACAUUGAAGUGCUGGUCUGAGGUUCCGCUUAUAGUUCACAACUCUGUUUCAGAAUUCGACAACUUUAUUUGGUAUCUGCCUGGAAAUCCAUGUACGUUAUUUUAAAAGCUUCAACGGAAACAUGAAUCUGUUAAUCUAAAGUUCAUUUCUCGCUUUGAUUUCUAAAUGUUCUGUCUGUGCUCUUGUUAUCAAUUUUUGAUGAUUUUGGAUAAUGUAAAAUUGUUCUGUCGUCUCAUUAUUGGGCAAAGAUUUGCUUGACUUAAUUCAUUUUGUUGAGUUUACAUUUGAUUUUGGGUAUUAGUUGUAUCCAUUUCAGAAGGUGAAUGCACUUCAUCUGUUCGGUCAUUUAUUUUGAACCAAAAUUCGUCGAGAGCAUUUUAGAAUUAAAGGCAAGUUUUGGAUGGUGAGUUAACACAAAUCAAGUUUCCGUAAAUAUUCAUUGUCGUGGCAUAUUAUUGAAUGUAAGAACUAUGUUGCUAAAAAUUCAUUCUAAUCUUGGUUGUAUGCAACUUCAUUCUGUGAUAGUAUUUUCAGAAGUUAAUCAACUGAAUUUGAUGUCAUGUAUUUUUGAUAACACAAUUACCAUUUGCUUCUAUAUCUUUACGCAUUAGUUCAAUAUUCUUAUCCUUACAUUUAAUGUCAACAUAGUUUAGGAAAAUAAUUCAUAUAAACACGCAUAAUAUACUUUAGGCAUGUUCUUAAUAAAUCUAUUAUCAUGAUUAUGUACACGUUCGUAUGACACGAGUACGAUUUAAAACAUGAAUAAUCGUAGAAAGGUUGUUAGGCGCGUUUAAAAUACAAUCGUGAUUGUGUACACGUUAGUGUGACACGAUUACAUUUUUAAAAAAAAUCAACUUCGAGUAUGCGUUCGCGCAACUUCGAUAAAAUUUCUUAGUAAUAAAAUGGUUGCUAAUAGGCCACUAAUUUAAUUUAGUUCGAGGUGCGCCAUCCACAAUUCAAUCAUUCAUGGCCCUCGUAUUAAUUUCAUAACCUAGAUAUAAAAAUGACAAAUGCUCAUAGUUGAUCUAGGUCCGUUUAAUAUAUCAUUGUGAUUAUGGACACGUUCGCAUGACUUGGUUACGGUUUCUAAAAACUGUGACGACCUGGUCAGUCGUCUCAUGAGUUACCACUUCAUUUCCCCCAUUUCAGCUUCUUUAUACUUCGUUAUCCGUGUUUUAUGUGAUCGAGUUGAUUAGUUCGAGUUCGGAGAGGAUUUGGUAAGAAAUGAGACACUCAGUUUCUUUUAAGAAGGCUUAAGUUGGAAAAGUCAAUUGGGUGUUGACUUAUGUGUUAGAAGACUCGGAAGUAAGUUCCGAUGGUUCGGCUAGCUUCGGGAGGUGAUUUGUGACUUAGGAGCGCGAUGGGAAUGGGGUUUGGAGUUGUAGAGAAGAAUUAGGCUUGAAUUGGCGAAGUUAGUAUUUUAGUGAAUUCCGGUUGGUAGGUGAGAUUUUGAUACGGGGGUCGGAAUGGAAUUCCGAGAGUUGUAGUAGNNNNNNNNNNNNNNNNNNNNNNNNNCUUCGUUAGGUGAUUUUGGAUGUGUGUGCAAAAUUUCAGAUCAUUCGGAGGUGUUUUGGUCGGGUUUUUGAUCAAAUGCGUAUUUCGGAAGUUUUUAAGAAAUUUAGGCUUGAAUCCGAUGUAAUUUGAUGGUUUUGGUGUUGUUUGUGGUGAUUUGAUGAUUGUAACAAGUUUUAUUGAUAUUUUAGGAUGGGUUGGCACUUUUGGUUGAGGUCCCGGGGGCCUCGGGGUGAUUUCAGAUGGUCAAUCGGACCAAUCUUGGUUUUUUGAAGUUGCAGAUUUCAGCUGAGUGUUGCAGAACAUUUUUGUUCUCUGCGAUCCAGGAGUGCAAUUGCGAUCGCAUAGAAGGUUUAGGGGACGGCCGUUCUGAUUGCUCAAUGCGAUCGCGGAAUAGGGUAUGUGAUCGCAUAGGUUGAGGAGGUUGUUCAUUGCGAUCGCAUGAGGAGUGAUGCGAUCGAGUAGUGUUAAAUGGACCUGAGGUUCUGAGGGAUACUUUGCUCAAUGCGAUCGCGAAGUAGUGUAUGUGAUUGCGUAGGUUUGAUUGGUGAAGAAGUGCGAUCGCAGUUAAGAGGUCGUGUUCGCAUAGGACAUUUUGGAGGCCUAGGAAAGUUGAGCUAUGCGAUCGCAGAGGCUUGGAUGCGAUCGCAUAGAGUAAAAUCUGGGCUGACGGAAGGGUUUUAAUAAACAUUUCACCCGCGAACCAAGACCCAUUUCCUCCAUUGUUGAGUAACCUUGGGAGCUUUUGACGAGUAUUAAAGAGGGUUUUGACUGGGAAUCGAUUGGAGGUGAGUCCUAUGGCCUAGAAACGUCAUUUAAUUGUAGAUUCAACAUCUAAAUUCAUGGAAAUUUGAUUAAAAAGGGAAGGAUUAGGGCUUGACUUUUGAAAUAGAAAUUUGGGGGUUUGAGGGAGCAUUUGAGCUCGGAUUUAGGUAAAUUUGAUAUAUAUAGACUCGUGGCGAGAUAAGAAAUCCGGUGAUGUCAAUUUUCUGAUUUUUCGAGAAGUGGGCCCAUGGCUCGGGUUUUGCCAACUUCGUGAUUUUCGAUAUUUUUCGAGUCUUUUCGAUUGGGUUGUAUUCCCUUAGCCUAUUGUAACAUUUUACUUGUGUUUUUUAUCAGAUUUGAUGCUCGAGGAGGUUGAUUUGCGAGGCAAGGGAGUAGCGAGCUAGGAUUUCGGCCUGCUUGAGGUGAGUAAUGGUUGUAAAUGAUGUCCUGAGGGUUUGAAACCCUGGAUUGCACAUCAUAGUGCUAUAUUGAGGCAAGAUACGCACUGGAUGAUAAGCGUGGGGUCUUUCACUACUGAGGAUUGUGACUUGGUCCAUCCCAAUUGAUGAUUUUACCGAAUAUUUGACUGAAAUUCAUUUGUUAUCAUCAUGAUUUGGGCUGAUUGCCAUAUUUGGGCUUCGUGCCAACUAUUUGAACCCUUCGGGGAUUUUUAUCACUGUUUCCUCACUGCUUGACUUAUUAUUUGAACUCAGUCCUGUUGAUAUCUACUGUUUUACAAACUCAUCCACUUUUACUUAGAUUUGAAACUUAAAUGAUAUUUCUACAUCAUGUUUUGGGCAGAGAACUACUGCUUUACUAAUGCCCAAGGGGCUUGUGAUGAUUUUUGGACUGAGUGAGGCCGAGGGCCAUAUGUGAGGAUAUGCUGAGUGAUAUGAGGCCGAGGGCCUGCGAUACUUUAGAUGCCACGAGAAGGCUUGAGUGAUGUGAGGCCGAGUGUCGAGUGUUGAUGCCAUGAGGUGGCUUGAUAUAGUGAUUGGGCCGUAAGGGGCCCCUGGGGAGUCUGCACAACCACAGUGAGAGGGUGUACCCAUUAUGCUGAGUGAUUGAUACUAUGACUGAGGGGAUGAUAUGAGUGAUUGUGAGGUAGCCCGAGGGGCUGAUACUAUUCUCAGAGUGAGCCCGAGGGGCUGAUACUAUGUUGAGCGAUUGAUACUGUACCCGAGGGGCAGAUUUUUACUUGUUAUUUACCGGUUAAUUUACCGGUUUUACUUGUUUUGAGAAAGAAUAUCAUUUGAUUUCUUCACUGAUUUACUGCUUUNNNNNNNNNNNNNNNNNNNNNNNNNCCUGAGCGCUAAUCUGUCCAAGCUAGGCGGUGAUUUGGAGUUCUGAGGUAGCUGUUGACGUCCGCAGCCCCUUGUCUCCCUUAUCCUAUAUCAUCUAUGUUUUCUUCAGACUAUUGUAUCGGAUUCCGUACUUUGUAGACCUAUAGCAGAUUUUAUAGUAGCUCAUGACUUGUGACACCCCGGUUUGGGCUGUGUUAGGAUGGUUCCUACUGUUGUUAACGUUAAAAUUCCGCAAUUUAUGAGUAUUAUAUUAUAUGUUCUUACUAUUUAUAAUGAUUAACUGUUUAAAAGAGGUGUUUCGUUUUGGUCUAGGUGGCCUUGUCUUCACGUGAGGCUCCAUCGUGACCGGGUUCGGGGAUUGGGUCGUGACAAAAACAAAUCUGGAGUAUGCGUUCGCGCAACUUCGGCCAAACUUUUCUUAAUAACAAUAAAGCAUUAUUAAUUGUGGACACAUUCAUGUGACAUAAUUUUUGACGCGCCAAAUAAAUGGGUACACGUACGCGUGACCCGUUUCAAGAUAAUUUCUUAAUUAAAAAAGGCAAAAGCACACAGGUUCUAAAAGUGAGUAAUUAAACAAUUUAACAAGCCAAGUAUGAUCAAAGCGACCGUGCUAAAACCACAGAACUCAGGAAUGCCUAACACCUUCUUCCGGGUUAACAGAAUUCCUUACCCAAAUUUCUAUGUUCACAGACCGUAAUAAAAGUCAAUUUCCUCAAUUCGGGAUUUCAAACUGGUGACUUGGGACACCAUAAAUUAUCCCAAGUGGAGACUCUGAUUUUAAUAAAAUAAUCCCACUUCGAUUGUCACUUAAAUUGGAAAAAAAUCCCUUAUACUCCUUUCCGGUGGUAGUAAAAAGGAGGUGUGACAGCUCUGGCAACUCUGCUGGUGAUCGAACCCAGAAUCUCUGGUUUAGGGUUCAAGAAUUCGAGCUUGUUAAUAUGAUUUUUACUUGGCUUUAUUUAUUAUUGAUAUUACUGUAUUUUGUGAACUUAAUGUGCUAAUUGUCGUCUAUUUAUCGCUUUGAUAUUAUUUGAAUUGUAUAUAACUGUCUUCUUAUGCCACCCCUCUGAGUCUUCUAAAAAUGGUGCACACAUUCGCGUGGACCAUUUUUUUUGUAGAAGUUAUACCAAAUAAAACGAGGCUGGGCCAGCAACAAGGCCGGGUAGACAUUAGUGCUCCUGGUACGUUGUCCCCCUCUUCGGCUCGAGUAGUCCGCUCGGAUAAGCCAAGUCAAGAAUACAACCCCAGGUUUAAACUUAGAAUAACAUAACCUCAUGCUGGAUCCCUAGUAGGCACGUUUGUUUGCGUCAUGUGAAUUUGACUUUGGGGACUCAACACAGGGGUUGGGUCCGUCUAGGACAGGUGUACCCAAAAAUAAAAGACCAUCCAGAUGCAUCCUAUCUGCUACAUGAUGCAAUCUUCAAGGGUAAAAGGGUCAUUUGGCGGACCAAUGAUAGUUGAGGACAAAUAAAAAAAAGAGGGUGAAGUGUGAAAAUAAAGCAAGUAGGGCUCAUUUAUGUUUUCUUUCACAUUUGUUAAAAAAAGGAAAAAAACAUGAAAAAUUUCAAAAAUAAAAAGAUUUUGUACUUUUUUAUCAUUUUCCGAAAAUCAAAAAUCAAAAAAGGGAAAAGAAAAUCCAAAAAGAGUCUACAUUUUUCAUCAUUUUUCAAAAAAAAAUAUUUUUCUCUAAAUUAGUUGUUUUUUUAAUUCUAGCCCGUAUCCAAUCUGCCCGAACUACGCAUACCUGAUUCUCGUAUUUUGGGGCGUGAUACGUAGGCAUCCCACAUAGGGUCCGGUCUUCCUAGUGAGUCUUAGGUUCUUGGCUUCGCGGGGUCUUAGCCAAAUCUUGCAUUUUUAGCCACUUUUAGCCACAUAGGUUAAUUUUUAAAAAAAUUGUCACAAUCAUGUCUUGAAUGUGUCCAACAUGAAUGGUUAUUGUCUCACAUAGCCUUCUAGGACUUUAACUUUAUUUGGUCUUAAUUUUCUCAUACAGGUGUGGAUUUACUUAUCGGAGUUUGAGCAUGACAGAGCCUCAGAACCAUCUAGUGAGGAUCACUCAUUCAAGAGUGGAUUAAAACGAG